CAUUGCAGUCCAUGCAUCAUGCAAUACACCAUCCAACCAUACAUACAUAACAUACACAUACAUCCCAACAUACCCCUGUCCAUAACCAACAUAAAAGAGAAGCAAACUUAGCUAGGCUACUACAAACAGUGCAAGUAAUUAAACAGUCUCCACCAAUAGCUCACCACUCACUAGUCACUGCUACGACUACCAAGUGGCAAGUGCCCAAUUCCAAAGCAAACCCAUCUAGAAAAGCAUCUUAUUCUUUAAUUCUCACUCUUCUUCCUCAUAUAAAGAAGGAAGAAAAGUUGAGCUAGAAAAGUAACUA
rnacentral:misc_RNA from 1 species